rnacentral:rRNA from 1 species
AAGGGAUAUUGUGCAAUGGGCGAAAGCCUGACACAGCGACGCCGCGUGGGGGAUGACGGCUUUCGGGUUGUAAACCCCUUUUCUCAGGGAAGAACAAUGACGGUACCUGAGGAAUAAGUCUCGGCUAACUACGUGCCAGCAGCCGCGGUAAUACGUAGGAGGCGAGCGUUAUCCGGAUUUACUGGGCGUAAAGCGGGCGUAGGCGGUCCUUCAAGUCGGAUGUAAAAUCUCCCGGCUCAACUGGGAGGGACCAUUCGAAACUGCUGGACUUGAGGAUAGCAGAGGGAGGUGGAAUUCCCGGUGUAGUGGUGAUAUGCGUAGAUAUCGGGAGGAACACCAGUGGCGAAGGCGGCCUCCUGGGCUAUNURUGACGCUGAGGCCCAAAAGCGUGGGGAGCGAACAGGAUUAGAUACCCUGGUAGUCCACGCUGUAAACGAUGGACACUAGGUAUGGGGAGUAUCGACCCUCUCCGUGCCGAVGNACGCCUUAAGUGUCCCG